UUGGUUGUGUUUACAAAUGUG
ensembl:piRNA 21ur-2163 ncRNA